AGAGUUUGAUCAUGGCUCAGGACGAACGCUGGCGGCGUGCUUAACACAUGCAAGUCGAACGGAGCACCCUUGACUGAGGUUUCGACCAAAUGAUAGGAAUGCUUAGUGGCAGACUGGUGAGCAACGCGUGAGGAACCUGCCUUGGAGUGGGGAAUAACAGUCCGAAAGGACUGCUAAUACCGCAUAAUGCAGCUGGGUCGCAUGACUCUGGCUGCCAAAGAUUUAUCACUCUGAGAUGGCCUCGCGUCUGAUUAGCUAGUAGGCGGGGUAACGGCCCACCUAGGCGACGAUCAGUAGCCGG
rnacentral:rRNA from 1 species